rnacentral:rRNA from 1 species
AAACGACUCUCGGCAACGGAUAUCUAGGCUCUCGCAUCGAUGAAGAACGUAGCAAAAUGCGAUACUUGGUGUGAAUUGCAGAAUCCCGUGAACCAUCGAGUUUUUGAACGCAAGUUGCGCCCGAAGCCAUUAGGCUGAGGGCACGCCUGCCUGGGCGUCUCA